rnacentral:tRNA from 1 species
GGGAACGUAGCGCAAUGGCAGCGCUGGUUGAGCGAACUCCGAAAGGACAGCAAGGACGUGGUUACGGGUUCAAGUCCCGUCGUUCCCACCA